rnacentral:lncRNA from 7 species
GAAAGACAGCUCCUAAGUUGCAUGAGAGGGAUUUUAUCUGAAAAAUGAUUAGCAGAACAAUCCAACUGCAGUAUGUGAUUAUUGCACAAUCAAUGUAAGUGGGAGUAUCUUUUUAGAAAACGGUUGACUGCCAUAAGAAGAACCCUGAGGAGGUGUGGUAUAUAAGCCUGAGAUGCAGUUAUGAUUGCAAAACCUUAAGAUCUACAAUGUAGCACUGCAUUCUAACAGGGAAGACUGAAACUCCAAGGAUGUUGAUGGCUGCAUGCCAUAGUGUCUCAGGAUUGGUAAAUACUGAUACAGAAGGAAACAACAAGGCAAAUGAGCUAUCAGUGAAGAACAGGAGUUUCUGUGUGGAUGGAUAUUUAACUGGGGACGAAGAAGGUGCCAUUUUACUUGUUUGUGGAUGCUCCAGGAUACACUGAAAAAAACAAGGUGCUCCCUACUUCACCAGAAUUGGUAUCUACAGAAAUUAGGGUGGGCUUUGUCAUGCUGCUCACUGGAGAGGAAAAUACCACCUUUUUUUGUAACUCAUAUGGCUAUAGUCAAAUGAAGAUGCUUCCUGUAUAGUUUUGACAUUUAGCUUUCCUCUUAAAAACAAAUUCAUGAGCAGUGUCGUCUUUGUUUUUGCUUUUUUAGUGGAAUAAAUUUAUCACAGGAUUGGCAGAUAUAAAAAAAAAAAAAUUUUAUAGAGUGGAACAAUCUGAAAACUUGUGGUUUUAGAGCUUAUAUUACAUGUACUCAGAUAAGAACAUGCUGUAUGUACCUUUAUAAGUUAGUGGUCACCUGUGAAAAUAAGAGUGUUGUUCUUUCCAUCUUCCUGUUGCUAUCUCUAUCUGUAGAUGUCAAUGAAAAUUUUUGUCAGGGACUAAGAAUAUUUUUGUCAAUCUGCUUGAAAAUCCAGCAAUAUAUAACCCUUGACACAAAGUGUAUUUGAAGUCUUGCUGUGUUUUUAGUCUAUCUGUGAAAAUACUGUUUUACUUUGUGUCCUUAUCAUUGCAUUGUUUUCUUAUAUAGCUUAUACAGUUUAUCACUUUUAAUGUCCCUCAGGAAAAAGUUCCAGUUCAUGCUUUCACCAGUAAAUCUAUCACAUUGAUUUUUAGAUUUGAUGAUAUUCAAAGUAAUCUUAUGUAGGAUAAGUGAAUCUAUUGAAAGGUAUUAGUAAUAAACCUAUUACUGGGAUAGAAUGACAUAAUUUAGGGUCCAUAAUAAUCAGUUAGAACCACUGUGUAUC